UACAGAGGGUGCGAGCGUUGUCCGGAAUCACUGGGCGUAAAGGGCGCGUAGGCGGCAUACUAAGGGUGCGGUGAAAGCCCGGGGCUCAACCCCGGGUCUGCCGUGCCAACUGGUGUGCUUGAGCACUGUAGAGGCAGGUAGAAUUCCGGGAGUAGCGGUGGAAUGCGUAGAGAUCCGGAAGAAUACCGGUGGCGAAGGCGGCCUGCUGGGCAGUGGCUGACGCUGAGGCGCGACAGCGUGGGGAGCAAACAGG
rnacentral:rRNA from 1 species